rnacentral:tRNA from 1 species
AUAGCGCAAUGGAUAGCGCGUAGAACUUCUAUUCCAAAGGUUGUGGUUUCGAAUCCCACCUGAAAUG